CAUAGUUUGACAAGGACUAUAUUAACUUCUUUGCAGCUGUAAUCUAUCACAGAACGAAGAACUCAGUCAUGAUGUACGUAGGAGUGAACGAAUCGAUUGUGCCGAGGAAUAGCAGUACUUUUUCAUGCAGCAUCGACGCCCCAAACAUUUUGCUAGUAAUAAUUGGUUCCGCGGCUGCCUUGAUGAACGGGCUACUGCUUUUGGUCUUGUACAAUGAACGGAAAAAAUUUUUCCGAACCAGGGUGUCGUAUCUCAUCGCGAAUCUGGCUCUAGCCGACUGUUUUACAGGCUUAAUGCUCGUCGUAGUGAUGGCAUUGCAAAUGGCGAACAAAAGCUUGAACGGUGUGGAGUUUCUCUUCUUCUGUGGCAGCAUCCAGACUUCAUUCUAUACGCUAAUCCUGAUGUCUGUAGACAGACUCGUUGUCGCAAUCAUGCCCAUGACUUGGUCACGGAUCCUUACAAAACGAAACACUGUCAUAGGCAUCAUUUUCGCGUGGGCUUUUGCACUUUUUGGAAGCGUUAUGAUGAAAUACCAAAUCACAAAAAGACGUUUCGCAUUCUUGCUGUUCAUCGAAAUCUCUGCAGUUUUGUUCGUCUUUAUACACAUCGUGAUUUUCCAAGUUCUUCGGAGACAGCGAAGGGAUUUAUCUCAGUCUGGCAGUUCGGCGGAAAUCUCGACCGUAAUGGAUCUGACCUUGCAAGCGUGUCAUGCGCAGAUCACAUCGGUGGUGUUAACGCUCAUGUUGGUGCUCAUUGUAACAUACACGCCUUACGUUGUGUAUUCGAAUGUCAUAUUAGCAAGAGAAGGGACUGGUAUGGGGAUUCUGAUAUACGAUACCGGAUUUCGCUACACCCAGGCGUUCGCUUAUUUUUAUUAUGCUGGGAACCCCAUCGUUUACGCCUGGAGAUUGAGGGUGUACCGCAAAGCACUCUGCACGCUCAUAUUGAAG